UAGGGAAUCUUCCGCAAUGGGCGAAAGCCUGACGGAGCAACGCCGCGUGAGUGAUGACGGUCUUCGGAUCGUAAAAUUCUGUUAUUAGGGAAGAACAAAUGUGUAAGUAACUAUGCACGUCUUGACGGUACCUAAUCAGAAAGCCACGGCUAACUACGUGCCAGCAGCCGCGGUAAUACGUAGGUGGCAAGCGUUAUCCGGAAUUAUUGGGCGUAAAGCGCGCGUAGGCGGUUUUUUAAGUCUGAUGUGAAAGCCCACGGCUCAACCGUGGAGGGUCAUUGGAAACUGGAAAACUUGAGUGCAGAAGAGGAAAGUGGAAUUCCAUGUGUAGCAGAGAAAUGCGCAGAGAUAAGGAGGAACACCAGUGGCGAAGGCGACUUUCUGGUCUGUAACUGACGCUGAUGUGCGAAAGCGGGGGGAUCAAACAGG
rnacentral:rRNA from 1 species